GUGGGGAAUAUUGGACAAUGGGCGAAAGCCUGAUCCAGCCAUGCCGCGUGUGUGAAGAAGGUCUUCGGAUUGUAAAGCACUUUAAGUUGGGAGGAAGGGUAGUAACCUAAUACGUUGCUACUUUGACGUUACCGACAGAAUAAGCACCGGCUAACUUCGUGCCAGCAGCCGCGGUAAUACGAAGGGUGCAAGCGUUAAUCGGAAUUACUGGGCGUAAAGCGCGCGUAGGUGGUUCAGUAAGUUGGAAGUGAAAUCCCCGGGCUCAACCUGGGAACUGACUCCAAAACUGCAUGACUAGAGUACGGUAGAGGGUAGUGGAAUUUCCUGUGUAGCGGUGAAAUGCGUAGAUAUAGGAAGGAACACCAGUGGCGAAGGCGACUACCUGGACUGAUACUGACACUGAGGUGCGAAAGCGUGGGGAGCAAACAGGAUUAGAAACCCGAGUAGUCC
rnacentral:rRNA from 1 species